CAGUGUUCAUGCAAACGAGAUUGUCUAUAUCACAGAAACUUAUUAUAGUUCAUUCAAAACUGAUUAUGCUAGGUUUAAAGUUUAUCAAACUAAUGUGGCCUUAUAGUUGUUAUUAAAAUUACCAAUAAAAAAGAGUACACAAAAAUGUCUAUGGUCUAGUUCAAAAAGAUCAUUAGCUUCUCUUGCUUAACCAUAAAAUCUACACAGAGUUUUAUUUUGAAUGAUUGUUUUUUAUAUAUAAUCUACAUCUUAUAUAUAUGGUUUAAAGCCAAGGAUUGACGUCCUGGCCAUAAUCAUUAAUGAAACUGCUUUCAUGUUGCCAUUAUAGCGAUAUGGCUGGUCUGGUGAGGAAUGAGGAUACACCAUGUGGGGUCAACCCCAGAGACAGAAACCAAAUCCAACCAUAGUUAUCAUUGAGAUCUCCUUAAUUAGAUAUUGUAGAUGUUUAAAAAUGACAAUAAUAUCCGGUUUUCUUACAUACAGUUCCGGUAUCAAAAUAAAUAUUCUCUCGUUUUUAUUAGAAGAUGUUUUAAAAUUAUGCAUAUCAAUUAAGAGAACACUAGGUGAUAACCCGCGCCCUGCACGGAAUAAAUAGAUUUCAAAAUAUUAACACUUUUAAUUUGUAGACAUAAUAAAAGUUAAAGUCAUAGCAAAAAAAUACUAUAUGUUAUAAAGUAAGGGUUAGACAAAAUUUAAUAUGGCAAUCUAAAUUAAGCUGCGAAAAUUUUGUUUAAAAAUUGUAUAUUUGUUUGCAUAAAAUAAAUUAAAAAUAUAAAAUAAAACGAAACAUAAACAAUAGACUAAUAAAAUAUAAAAGAAACAAUGUCUUGAAUGGUUUCAAAUCGGAAACAGAGUUAAAGCCAACCGUUUGAUUGCUUGAGAGAAUGUUUUGAUAUGAGCAAAGUCGAGAAGAAAUGUGUGGUGAGUUUUCUGAAUUAUAGAAGCCGUAUAUUUAUACUAAAAAGGAAUAGCCGUGUGGUCAUAUGGAUUCGAAAUAAUGGUCGUAACUAAAUCGAAUAUUACACAUAACUUGCGCUCCAAUCUUAGUCAAGAAUUACUUUAAUAUUGUAAAUAGUUAAAGCAAACUUCCUUUUAUCAAUCGCAAUUGAACAAAUUCAAGAAAGUUCAUGAUUAUUAAUUGAUUACAAUAAUUUGAACCUUAAUCUACGUUCCUUAUAUACAAAAGUCAAGUCCUCGCAAAUCACGUAUUAUUACCAUCAGUUUACCAAAUUUGUAAUUUAAAAAUAUGUUAAAAGUUAUUAGAAGUUUCCUUUUUCCCAAUCAUCAAUCAAUUUCGUUCUUGCAAAUAACUUUUGAAUCAUGGGCAAUUUGCUCCGCCAUUAUUUGCAUUAUGCAAGUUGGCGUUAAAAUCUUAAUUACGAUAGAUCACCUAAGGUAAGUUUUUAUAUGUGUAUGCCAGAAAAUCGUAUUGUACCUUAGUUUCUACAAUCGCAAUGCGGAGAUCAUCUAACAAUUUAGUGAAACGGGGCAAGUAUAUGUCAUAUGCAUGGUUCUUCUGUUUCACUAUUUUAAGAAAAAAAGUUUUUUUCUUGAUAUAUUUUUAAGAGAACAAAUAUUUUUUCGCAUUUUUAAGAAAAUCAAUCACUUGAGCAUGUAUUGAUCAUCAAAUAAUUUUUAGGAUUUUUCAGAAAACAAACUUUGGUUGAUAAUUGCACAUUAAUUUUUCGCAUCUAUAUUCAUUUUGAAUAAAAAAAAUUAGACCACUACGUAUGUCAGUAAUGUUUUUGUAUUGAAACAAAUUAAUGAAAAAACUUCAGUCAAGGUAAUUAACAUAAUUUUAAAAUCUUUGAUGUAAUACGUAGAACUUCGGUUAAGGUAACUAACGCAAAAAAUAAAUGAUAAGGUUUGAUGUAAUACAUAUCAACGUAUAUAUGUGACAAAUGUAGACAAAACAAAGGUAAUUAUAAUGUUUUGAUCAAUGGCAUGUUGUGUAAUUACUCUAGUUAACAAAGGGGUUUUAAAUAGAAUAGGUGAGAGAGCUUGUGGAGUUGCCACGUAAAAAAUGGCACACUUGUAAUAAACACAUGAACUAAAGGUUAUUUAUUUUUAAUGCUCCUCAAAUAAUAAGAAAGGGAUGUCUGGGAUUAGUCUAUGGGUGCCUACUGUUUUUUUUUUUUGAGUUUUAGUCGCCGGCCAGUUUGAUCUAGAAUUGUAAGAAUACUUUUGAUUGACAAGCGUUAAAAACAAAACUUAAGAGAACAUGUAGUAAAAAAUAUUUUUAAACAAAAGCAUCACUAAUUUAUCUACAUAAGUGUGGAAACAUUGUAGCCUACUCACUACAAGAAAACACACCGAAUUCCGACGGAGAUUUCGACGGACGCCAAAGGCGUCGGACAAUUUGGACGGAAUUCCGACCGAUUUCCGACGAAAACAAAAAAUCUGAAAUCGUCGGAAUUCCGUCGGCUAAUUCCGACGAAUUUCCGAGAAAACAAUGUUCGUCGGAAUAUUCCGACGACUUUUCGACGACAUUCCGAUAAACAAUAUAACCGUUGUAGUCGUCGAAAAGUCGUCAGAAUAUUCCGUCGAAUUUCCGACGAUAUUCCGAUUAAAAGAUAUAACCGUUAUGGUCGUCGGUAUUCCGUCGGAAUUUUCCGACGAAUUUCUGACGAACCAAGUGACCGUUGCCGACAAAUAUAUAUGACUGUUUUAUAGCCGUUUGAGAUUGGAAAAUACCGACGGAAUGCUUUAUAUCUGUCGGUAUUCCGUCGGAAAGUCGUCGGAUGUCCGUAAGCAAUUUCCUAUAAAUGCAACCCCUCCUCAUUCAACUCAUUCACACCUCAUUCUCUCUUCUUUCUCUUUAGUCAUAACAAUUCCAUGAAAAUCAUGUCUUCAGGAGCUUAUUAUCGUUCGUGGAUGGAUAAACCUCAUUUGGAUCCCAACACCAAUUUGCUUACGGAAGAAUACGUUCAAGGGAUUGGAGAAUUCAUGAGGCUUGUUCAACAGCAACCGGAUGCAAAAAGUGGUAUGUUAAGAUGUCCCUGCUCUACUUGCAAUAAUAAUAAGGUUAUAAAAGAAUUUUAUGUUUGGACUCAUUUGUAUAUGAAAGGGUUUUCACGUAAUUAUAAAGUUUGGUACCUUCAUGGGGAAACUGGUUAUGAAUAUGGUAGUACUAGCGAACUUCAGCCUGUUAGUGAACUUCAGCCUGAUAUUAGGUUAGAAGAACCUAGAACGGAUAUAGAUUAUGGUGUAGGUACUGAGCAGAUGGUACAUGAUCAUUAUAGAGGGGAAGAACCAAAUCCCGAAUCUAGGAGAUUUUUUGAUAUGUUAGAUGCAGGAAAACAACCUUUGUAUCAAAAUUGUAGAGAUGGUCAUUCAGUCUUAUCAUCUGCAACUAGAUUAAUGUGUAUUAAGACAUACUAUAAUUUGGCUGAAAAAUGUAUGGAUGCGACAACUGAUUUUGUCAAAGGUAUUCUACCUGAGGAUAACCUUGCAUCGGGUUCAUACUACGAGGUUCAGAAACUUGUAGCCGGUCUUCAACUACCGUACGAAGUGAUAGAUGUAUGUAUUGACAACUGCAUGAUCUAUUGGAGAGCGGAUGAGACACGAAAUGUAUGCAAAUUUUGUGGGAAACCUCGUUAUCAGGAGACGAGGGGAAGAGUUCCGAUCCCGUUCAAAAGAAUGUGGUAUUUGCCUUUGACGGAAAGAUUGAAGAGGUUGUAUCAGUGUGAGCGCACAGCAAAAGCAAUGAGAUGGCAUACAGAGCAUUCCACAAAUGGUGAGAUUAGACAUCCUUCAGAUGCGAAGGCUUGGAAACAUUUCCAGUCAACAUAUCCAGAAUUUGCGGAAGAGAGAAGAAAUGUUUAUCUUGGAUUAUCUACUGAUGGUUUCAGCCUGUUUGGAAAGCAUGGAAGACAGUAUUCUCUAUGGCCAGUUAUCGUGACCCCGUACAACUUACCGCCGAGCUUGUGCAUGCGACGAGAGUUUUUGUUUCUCUCAAUUCUCGUCCCCGGUCCAGAUCAUCCUAAAAGAUCACUAGAUGUGUUUUUUCAACCACUGAUAUAUGAGUUGCAACAACUAUGGGCGCAUGGUUUUGAGACAUACGAUGUUUCGUGCAAAGAAAACUUUCAGAUGCGGGCAGUACUUAUGUGGACAAUAAGUGACUUUCCAGCAUAUGGUAUGUUAUCUGGAUGGACAACACAUGGGAGGCUAUCAUGUCCAUAUUGUCAAGAUGACACAGAUGCUUUCCAACUAAAGAACGGAAGGAAAACGUGUUGGUUUGACUGUCACAGACGAUUUCUACCACCUGAUCAUCCAUACCGCAGGAGUAAAACUUCGUUUACGAAGAACAAGCAGGUGUUUGAUUUAUCCACCUGAGGAAGUUAGUGGGGAAGAUUUGUUGAAGCAGUUUAGGGAUUUUGAUGCAGAAAGGACGCCAGAUGUAGGUGGACAUGAAAACAUUCGAGUCAGUGCGGUUGGAGAGCUACAUAACUGGCACAAAAAGAGUAUUUUCUGGGAUCUGCCAUAUUGGAAGACUCAUCUAUUGCGGCAUAAUUUAGAUGUCAUGCAUAUUGAGAAGAACUUCUUCGACAAUCUGAUGAACACAGUCCUUAACAUCCAAGGUAAAACGAAGGAUAAUUUGAAGUCAAGGUUGGAUUUAGUCGAUAUCUGUGAUCGUUCUGAACUUCACGUUGAUGAGAACGGUAUGGCCCCUUUUCCCAUUUAUCGGCUGGAUGGUGCUAGAAAAGAAGAGUUCUUUGAUUGGAUUACAGAUAAAGUGAAAUUUCCUGACGGAUAUGCAUCAAAUUUGGGGAACUGCGUUGAUAGAAGCGAAGGAAAGUUUAGUGGCUUGAAGAGUCAUGAUUGUCAUGUAAUUAUGCAGCGCCUCCUCCCGUUUGCUUUUUCAGCAUUAUUGCCACGUAAUGUUCAUGAAUCAAUUGCAGGGAUAAGUGUUUUCUUCCGCGACUUAUGCAGCAGAGUAGUGACUGAAGAGGGUAUUAAUAAUUUGAAGACAAACGCACCAGUCAGCAUGUGCAACCUUGAGAAGAUAUUUCCUCCAUCAUUCUUUGAUGUAAUGGAAUAUCUUGCUAUUCAUCUCGCAAGAGAAUUGGAACUUGGUGGUCCUGUGCAGUACAGAUGGAUGUAUAUUUUUGAGCGUUAUAUGCAUCAUCUGAAGAAGAUGGUCAAAAAUCAAAGCAGGGUGGAAGGAUCUAUAGUGGCACAUGUGAUCAAUGAAGAAACUGCAAUCUUUGCUGAAAAUUAUUUUCCACCAGAAGUGCAUACAAAACACCGAAGACCUGCUCGGCAUGAUGACAGAGGGGAGAGAGCAACAUAUCAUGUUACUGUCCCAAGCAUGUUCAAGGAAAUAGGAUGACUUAGUGGAAAAUUCACGAAGCGCAGACUUACGGACACUGAGCACGCUCAUUUGCAAACAUAUUUGCUCACCAACUGUGAAGAUGUUCUACAAUAUGAGAGUGUAUAUAUGGCGGAGUUGCGUAUGACUCACAGGCAUGCAACAGAAGAUGAGCUUCAACAACUUAGAGAUAACGGAUUUGCUGUGUGGCUUCGUAGUUAUGUGAGUCAUAUAUCAUAUUACCCUAUGCAAAUGAGUAGUUUAAAUUUAAUAUAAACUAAUUAACUUUUCACUCAUAUAUGUUUUUAAUUUGUAGGUGAAUGAUGGUUUGGCCAGAGGUUUUGUGUUCGAUGAUUGGAUACGCGAAUUUGUGCAGGGAUCAAACUAUGUGGUCAAAUCAUAUCCAAAAUUUUGUACGCGAGGAUAUGCAUUCACAAGGAAAGGUCAUUCUAAGACAACAUAUGAUGCUGGUGUUUCAUCUUCUUCCGGUGACGAUGUCUACUACGGCAACAUAAAAGAAAUAUUGGAAAUCCAAUUUCCUGGAAUGGUUGGAUUGCGUUGUGUAGUAUUCUAUUUUGAUUGGUAUGACACCACCCCAGAUAGAGGAGUGAAGAUUGAUGCGUUUGGUGUUACAUCAGUUCAUUCGCGGCGGAAACUUCAAUACUAUGAUCCCUUCAUUCUUGGUUCGCAAGCUGAUCAGGUAUGUCAAUCUAUUCAUAAUUUUUUACCAAUAUAAUUAAUUAAUGUUAUAUAUUUUACUAAUAUUUGUAUAAUUGAUAUGUAUAGGUGUGUUACAUCAGUUCCCCUCGGGUGACGUACAGAGAUGAUCCAUGGGUCACUGUAACGCAAAUCAACCCAAGAGGACGAAUGGAUGGAACUUCUGAUGAUGAUGAACCAUUGCAACCAGAGUCUACCAGCAACGCCCAGGCAGUUGAAGAUUUGGCAAAUGUUGAACUCGUUGAGGAUUUGACUGAGUUUGGACUUGAUGUUGUUGUACAUUCGGAGCCAGAAGCUGAGGUUGGGGAGUUUGAUGAAGAUUCAGAAGAUUCGGAUUAGUUUUUUUUUUUUUUUUUUUUCUAUUGGUCCGUCGGAAAUCCCUCGCAAAAUACCGACGAGAUAGCGACGACAAAGAGUUUCAUUAAAGUCUGGAAAUGUCCUCGGUAAUUCGUCGCAAUAUACCGACGACAUUCCGACGAACUCGCCUAGUUUGUCGGAAUGUCGUCGGUAUAUUCUGACGAAUUACCGAGGACAUGUGUUUUUAAAAAAUUUCCAACAUAAAAAUCUAUAAAUUUAUAU